rnacentral:lncRNA from 1 species
UGCAAAAUGGCGAAAGAAGUGAAUGUUAAGUGGUUAGGAAGGAAAUAAUUAGUUCUAAACAUGUGUUUCUUAUCAACCACAUCUUAUUUAACGUGUUAAUUAUCUGAUAUAUAUAUAAUUAAGUGUUGAUCCGGAUAUAAUGAGUACCGAUAAAGUGCGUGUAGCGGUUAGAGUGCGACCCUUUAAUCGCAGAGGUAGGUAUUUGUAAACAAACUAGACACACGAUGUGUAUUCUAUUUACGAAGUGGUAUAUUAUUCUCAUUAUGGGUUGUCACUGCUAAUUGAUUGGUGCACAUAUAUGUACAAUUGAUAUACUAGAAAAAAAUAAUCUUAAAUGGCUAAAACACUUGUUUAAAUACGAGAAGUAGCUAGGUGACCACGUUUUUCGGCAAUACACAUCACCAAAUACACCUUCCCAGACUUUCAUUGACAUUUGACACAGACACUGGUCAAUGUUACAACUUGUUAUGUUUAAUAUCCUGUCAUGCACUUAAAGUGUAGGAAAGAAUAUAUACCUGUAUAUAAUAUAAACAGUUAAUAAAUUAAUUAUUAAAUAAAACAUUGUUUGUGAAAUUGUUAUUGUUUGGGGGAGGGGGUCAAAAACAUGUAUCAUUGCAAUAGUUACUACAUUUUAUUUGAUGCUAUUUAAAGAGAUAAUAAUACAACUUUAAUAAAACUUUUUUUAAGUUGAUUAUUUAAUUGUAAGCAAAAGCACAAAUCCAUUCUCAAUUAAUUUAUUUAAAUUUAACAUUAAUUUGAUAUUAUAAUCAAUGAUAAUAUUUGAGUAGAUUUUUAAAAAUAAUUUAAAAAAUUCAUGUGUUAUUGCUUAAGCAGAUUAAGUCAUUAAAGUGUAUCUAAACACCAUUACAUAUUUAUUUAUCAAAAAUUAUUUAAAUUAUAUUUUAAACUUAUUACUUCAACAUGUUCAAGCUGGGCCACAACCUAUUUUAACCUUGUGAGAAAAAAACAUGUUAUUUCCCAAAAUGUAAAAAAAAAUCACCCUGUAUCUUCAUCUUUUGACCUUAAUAAAAACUAUGUUGCAAAUCAAUAUGCACUGUUCUCUCAAUUUCUGCUUGAAAUUGAAAGGGUAGGGCACUUGUCAAUUCUGUUCUGCAGGUAGAAAUUCAAAAUUUUAGUGAUCAAGUUUUAAUCCAAUUACAAAUGUAUGAUGCUUUAUAUGGACAAUAACUCUUAAAUACAAAUGUAUAAUGCUUUAUAUGGGCAAUAACUCUUAAAUACAGAUAAUACAUGAUAUACAUUGUAGAUUGUCAGUUAUUUACCCAUUAAUUAACACUUUCCAGUGACUUAAUCAUGUUAAUACAUUUGUAUAUUGUAAUUAAUUCUGCUGAUAAAAUUAUCUUAGGGACAACAAAUGUCAACACUGUGUAAUGCAAAUUUACUCAUAAAAAAAAGUUCAUAGCAAACAGUUCAUAGACAAGUUCCAGUUGAAUUAAGGUUUUAAGCUAAAAAUGAAGUGCCCUUCUUAAUUUUGUUAACGAAACACUUAACAUGUUAAAUAUAAUAAAGUUCUAUACAUGUAUGAGGGUUCCAUAUAUUUAUAAAAAUCAAACAAUUGCUGUUUCUUAUGCUUGCCACCAGAUUCUUUCUUGCUUUCAAUUGCUAACAGUCAGGAUAGUCUUCAUGAUAUAUUUUUGAUUAAGAAGUCUGAAAAACAGUCUUUUCAAAACUUUUUUAAAAUUCAUGUAUAUGGCUGAUAGCCUCUUCUUAGGAACAUUUUAUUGACCUGGGAUGUUGGAUUAUUUGUAAAUGUUGAAGACUUCUUAAACUUGUAUUCAAGACGAACUUACAAUUUGGAAUUUACAAUUUUAUUUUCAAAAUUAUAUUUCUUAAUUGUAAUAUGGAUACAUGUUAAAGUACAUGUAUGAUGUACAAAAUGUUUGAUUCUUCUUCUGGAAUUAUUUUCCACAAGCUCUUAAAGGUUGUACAUGUAUGUGUGAGAAAGGCUAUGAAGUUGAAUUUAUCUAUAAAUAUGUAGGAUGGACAAUCUGGUUUCUAAUUUUGAGGCUGUUAUUUGAAUUUGAAUAUUUUUUUCCUUGAAUUUGAAGCAUGGAGAAUGUUUCACAAUUUUGAUAAAUUGUUUUUUUUUUUUUACAAAUAUUUUUACACUAGAUACACAACAUGUACAUUGUAUAUGUUCAUGUACAUGUUGUAAGCAAUCAAAUUAUCAUAUGUGUCAAUAGUACUCAAUGUUGAAAGUGGAAAUGAAAGUCGUCAUGCUAGCUUUGUUUUAAUAACAGAUGUCAGGGGUUUCUCGAAGACAUGUCCAUGAGUCCUGAAUGCUUGAAAAUCUGUCCUCGUUCUGUCAAAGCCCCGAUAUUUUGAUUUAACUGUUUACAAUGUAAGUCUCAAAAACUUAACUUUAUGUAAACUUGAUUUGAUUUACUUACUCUACUUUAGGAUAGAGAUUUAAAAAUAAAUUAUAUAGCAAUAACAUUUGACUAAAAAUGACAAUUCCAUUGACUUUGCUGCAAGAAACCUUACUGAGAACAUUGCAUUUAUUGUACUGUACAUGUACAUGAAUUAAAAUAUGUAUGUUGACCAGUCAGGAUGCAUUUGUUUGGCUAAAAAAUAUCUUUCUUGUCUUUCCUUCUACCCUUAUUUGUCAUGCCUACUCUUAACACAUUUUAUGAAGCACUUAUAUAGACAAGAACAUUCCCUUAUACAUGUUAUAAAUUCCAUGAAAAUGAUUAAAACAAAACAUUUUACCUACAUACAUGUACCAGUGGUUCUUUUCAUAUAAAACAUUUGUAAGUUAUGAACAUUUCAGUUUAACCUAAUGUUUGUAUCUAUUUUACAUUGUAAAUACCAGUAAAGAGAAGGUUCCUGUUAUGCAUAUAUUGACUAUAUAUGUUGCUGCAUUAUAUGAUUGAGCUGCCAUGACACUUGAUUGAGCUUAUUCUGAUCCUCAUGCAGCAUGACGUGACGUGUCUAUUUGACGUGUCUCUGGAGAAUUUUGAUUAAUGAUACAUGUUGCAGUUGUAGUUUCAAAGUGUUAAAGAUGGAAGAAAUCAAUAGUUAAGGCUGUACUGUUUUAAUGUAGUUUGUCCUGUUUAGUACAGGCUAAAAAAGGAUUCAUGUGAAAUGUUUGUUUAUAUAUGUGUAUGUUUCAGCGGCGGAUUCAGCCAUUUAGAAAAGGGGGUCUGGGGGUUGGUUCCAACCAAGGAUAAAAGGCAUUGUUUUGUAACCGAAAGCAAAAUAACUACAUUUAUUCUAUAAAAAGUAAUGUUGAUAGACAAAGAUAUAAACGUACAUGUAUUUCAUAUUUUAUUCAUUACUAUAUAAUGAAUAUAUAAUAGACAGAGAGCAAACAAUCCCAGUACUGCAGUCUGCACCGUUAGCCAUUAGUCUGAUGCCUCAGACUAGUAAAUAUUUAUUCGGACUAUUGAAAAUUUUCCAAAUUUUAUAUACAUGUAGUCAUAUAGGGACAAUUCUUCAUAUUUAGUGUACAUAGGGACAAGUUUUGAUAUUUAGUGUACGGACAAGUAGAUGAAAAAGUUUUUGGUGCAGACUGGUACUGUUGUACUAAUUGUCUCAAACAGCUGAUUAUGGAUCAGUGACUUUCUUUCAUCUAUGCAUUUCUCAUGUCUAUUAUAAUUCACCUUUUCCCCAAUAGGCACUCAAUUUUAACAAGUGACAAGAUUUUUGGGAGUCAGUCUUUCUAAAAAAUUAAAGAAUGAUAAAAAAAUUGAAAAUAACAGUAUAUUUUUCAUUCAUUAUCAUGUUUCUAAUUCUGUUUAUUCAACGUAAUGCAGCAGAUAUGAGUUAAAAAAUGGUUAAUUUGCUGUAAAAAUCACUAAAAUGCUGAAUACAUUACAAAUAUAUACAUGUAUAUAUGUAAGAAAUAAAUCUCAUAUAAGGAACAUUAUAUAUGUCUAAAAUAAAAAUCCUAAUGUCAAUGUACAUGUACGUCACAGUAUGUGGAUCACAAAACUUCUGAAAAGAAACUUCAUGUAGAUUUCAUACUAUGCAAAUGGUACACAGAGAUGUUGUGACAGUAAAAACAAAUUGAGACAAUAAAAUAUCAUGAUUUUCUUUACUUUGGUUUGAAAAGAAGGUUAUUGACAUGGGUAGACAAAUAAUUUUAUAUUCCCACAAGUUUCUGUCAUUAGAAUUGCUAAAUGCUUUUAUACAAGAUAUCUUUAUACUGUCUGGAAAAAAACUGUUGAGGAAAAUAAUCUGUUAGGCCUAAAUUAAUAUUUUGUUUGUUUCCCCAAUCCCGACCCUGCCAAGCAAGGUGUACAUGUGGGUAGGGAAAUAAUUUUAUUUUUUUCCAAAAAGCUUGAACAAUAUAUAUCGAACAAUGCAGCAAGCCUGAAAAUCAGAAAGAAUAAAAUAAUUUUCUACUUAGUGUUGACAAUAAAAUUUUAUGAGUAGCACCAUUUUUGCAGGGUCGGUCGAGAUUGGGGAAACAAAUAAUAUUUUAUUUUAAGCCUUAUUAUUGGAUUAAUGUACUAUACAAGUGCAUAUGAAACUUUAUCAUGUUCAUAAACCAGAGAGGUCUCAGUUGCCAAGACGGACCACUUUAAGUCUCAUUGGCAAUCAUACCAUAUUCUUUUUUAUAAGAAGUCAAACUCCUGUAUUAUUACCAUGCAAUAGCAUCACAUCCAUAACACCAUAUAAGAUCUUCAUUAUAGAUAGCAUCACAGUGAAGCAAUAUAUAUAUAUUAGCAUUGCCAUCACAUUACCAUGAUGCUAAAUAGACCCUAGGGAGAACACUGCAUGUAUAUAUUAUCCAAGAUGUGUUAAAUUUUCUCAAUUUUCCCUCUUUCUGGAGUCUACAAAACAAAGUGUCAGAUUUUACAAAUACAUUUUUGCCUAGAAGUUACAUAUAUAGAUAUUGAUCAGAUAGUUAAUGUUUUUGUUACAAUAGAUUAUAAAAGAUAAUAAUUCAUGGCCAUCAUGGUAUUAUCUCAGUAUGCAUUCAUUGAUUAUAUUAUGAUAUAAAGGUUGUUCAACAAGUUCAUAUCAAGACACAUUUUUAAAAAGUACAAGAAAACUCUUACAACAGGGCGACUUGUUUUUCGCUUUUGAGGGUCCGUCAAAGCGAAGUGAGGGACGGGAAAAUGACUUCUUUGUCCUAGUUGCCAGGUAGCAUGAGCUCUGAUUCUUAGGGAAAAAAAAGUAGUUGGUCACAGGUAUCAUGAAAAUCUUAUUUAUACUGGUUACAUUUGCAAGCUUAGUCCUAAAAUAGUUCAUAAUUUCAUAAAGAAAUUUGAUUAAUAUGGUUUGUGAGCAGCUUAUUUUUUAUAAAAACAAAAGUUACUAUUCGAAUCACAUUUUUACUGAAGUUGGGAAUAUUUGCACAUUUUAUUUAGCAAUAAACUCAGCUUUUUGCCAAAACUGGCUAUAUUCUUUCAUGAUGAAAAAGUAUCCUCAAUUUUCCAAUAUAUAUUUGGAGUCUUGGGUCUGUAAAAUUCUUCUCUACAAGGCAACAUAAUUCAACUAAAAUGUUCGUAUAAUUGAGCUUCUGCUUGUGGAUUCAAAAGUUUUCAUGAAGACUGAAAAUGUAUUAUGUGAGGGAGUGUGAAAUUUCACAGUAAUCACACUCCUUCACAUAAUGUAUUAUGUAGUUUUAUGUGUAAUGUCAUAUCAGGUAAAUAUCUUAUGUUUAUUAAUUAGAUUGAAAGGUGGAUAUCUAAAAGUUGAGGUGUAGAAAAUUUAAUUAGUUAUGUCAUAUAAAGAUGUACAAUAUUGCAUAAUAUAUAUACUAUGGAAACAGCUUAUAUACCUGAAAUAAACACAUUAAACAAUAAUUAAACAAUAAUCACUUAUUUAUGUUCAGUGGGAGGGGGGGGGGGGUGAAGAGUACGUAUCAUCCCCAAUUCCUGGUAAAAAAUAAACAUUAAAUCCUGUAUUUAAAAAAAAAGUAUUCCGGGUCCCGCUAAAUGUCAUUUCCCGUCACGCUUAGACCCCAAUGAGGCCCACUUCAGAAUCAACUAUUGUUGUUGCUGUACAAUAAAAGCCAUUUCAAUGCUAAAAAUAGAAUAUAUAUUAAAUAUACAUGUAUCAGUUAAAUGAAUAAGAAUAUGAUACAAGUCAUUUCCAAUGUGAAAGUAAUAUAUUAUAUAUAUCUGAAACAUGAUUAAAAAUAUGAUCUAUUGAUGCAGUGUUAUACAUCCUAUCAAUAAAAUCCAUUUAUAGAACAUUUUUAAUCUACUUGUUAUAUGGCAUUGAGAUGCAGAAUAUGGAUUUAUUGUCGAGAGAUUUUACAUUACAUGACAUUAAGAUAAUUUGGUUGAAUGGUCAGAUAUGGCAUGUGAGUUUUUUGGAGAAAAUAAUUUGUAAGACCUCUCGGUGGAAUAUUUAUUCCAUAUUUGGUGAAUUGAAAUGUUCGUCAGAUUGUUUUGGUACAAUCACGCAUACUAAACAUUUGAUUGAUUGGGUUCUCUGACACGGACUGAUUUCUGUGUCAUUCGUCUGUGUAGUAUCUUGAUGGACAGGGUGUCUCUGUAUUGGUGUGAGUCUUCUGAUGGUUUGGAUGACCAUUGGUCAUUGAUUGUAUGGAAUCACUUCUUUGUAUCAAUUUGUUGUGACUACUUGUAAAUUGAAUUGGAGCCUUUCAAUAGUUUUGUAUGACCAUCGAUUGCAUAGAUAUCAUUAACAACUGACAUCUCGCUUUAAAAGGGAAAUAUAGCAUUAUGAUUGCCUUUGGUUUUAAGUUUGUAAAUGCAUGCCUCUUAAGUAAAUAGAUCAAUACUAGUUAUAUAUAAAGUGUUUUAGUGUUAGAAUUCAGAAGUGACACUCAUUUAAUGAAUUGUAAGUCUAUAUAUAUUUGCACUUUUGUAUUUAUAAAAAAAAGAAGAUGUUGUAUGAUUGCCAAUGAGACAACCCCUUCACAAGAGACCAAAUAACACAGAAACAAACAGUUUAUAAUAGGCUACCUCAGUUGUUUUUCAUUCAGAAAAUAUGUGAUUGUGUUCUAAAUAAGGUUUUAUCUUCCAAGGUCAUUGUGCACAAUUUUGUUUACAGUGUGUAUGAUGUAUGUAACCUUGAAUAAGGGAGAUAACCAAAUGGUAAAGUCUGUAAAAAGGAAAUAACGAAAAUACCAAUUUUUACUCAGAAAGUCCCUCAUCAAAUGGCAAAAUUAAAAGCUCUUACACAUUAAAUGAAUGUUCAACAACUGACAUAUUCUUGACUUGGUACAGGCAUUUCCUGGCAUUUAAAUUAUUAAUAAAGUGGUUUUACUUUAAUAUGCCUGUUACAUACAUGUAUGUGCCAUGCUUUUAGUUUGCAGACUGACGUAAGAGAUUAAUGGAUAUAUAUAUAUAGCUCUCAUUUACAUUUGUUCCAUGACUCCAAAGCCAGUAGCAACUAAUUAUGGAUGUCUAAAAAUUAGAUUUCAAGGUUUUUUCUGUUGUUUAUAUAAUAAGACAGAUAAAUAGGAAACAAUAUUCUUUAAAAUUAAUGAAGUCAAGAAAAUUGGUCCUUAAAUUUUCAGAAUUAUAGGAAAUUUUUUUUCUCUAGGUGACCUUAAAAACAUUUUUGAUCUUAUACACAGCAUUGCCAUUGUAACAAUCUUAAACAAUCUUCAUUGACAGUUUUUAUCUAUUUUAAGGAAGUAAAUGAUCAUAUGAAUAUUGACCUUACUUAACCUUUAAAGUCCAUUCACCUGUCUAUGUUAAUUAAGAUACUGGUUUAGAAUAGUUAAAACAAGAACAUAAAGUUAGAAGUUUUAGCUAAUGGUCAUGAUAGUAAUUUGUCCUAAAGUUUGUUUGAGUUGAUGUAUAAAUCUUUAAAAAAAAAUAUUGAAAUCAAAUUUCAUAUUUGAAGUGUCAUAUUAUGAAAAAAAUGUAUGUCCAGCCUCCGAAGGGGGACAUUUUGAUUUCUGGUCUGUUCAUUAAUUUAUUUUGUAUGUCUGGGAUAAAAAAAAAAUUUACCAUGAAUAUACUGGUAAAUUAUUAUUUUUUAACACUGUGACCUGUGCUUAACUGUCAAUUUUGGUGUGAACUUUUAAAAUUAUACCCCAAAUUAUGGUUUUAGCCUCAACUCAACUGAUCACAGAAAAAGGAAUUAAGAAAAUUAGUAUUAAAUCAGCAAAUUCUCAAGUCGAAUAUUUAGGUCAAGGUAGUUUGCAAUGAAGUUUUGGUCACAUCAACUUAAAACUUAAUGAUGUGAACACUUUAAACUAUUUGUCAAAGAACAGAUGAAAAUCAACAUAAUACCAAAUCAGAUAAUGAUAUAUCAGUUUCAGUCAGUUAACAAUGGACCAGUAUUAUAGCUUAUUUAAUGUAACAAUUAACAGGAAAACAGUAUUGUGUAUUCCUUCAUUGGCUACUAUGCUUACAUUUUUAUGCCCCACCUACGAUAGUAGAGGAGCAUUAUGUUUUCUGGUCUGUGCGUCCUUCCGUCCGUCCGUUCGUCCCACUUCAGGUUAAAGUUUUUGGUCAAGGUAGUUUUUGAUGAAGCUGAAGACCAAUCAACUUGAAACUUAGUACACAUGUUCCCUUUUGGUUGAUCUUUUUACUUUUAAGGCCAAAUUAGAUUUUUUACCCAAUUUCACGGUCCAUUGAACAUGGAAAAUGAUGAUGCGAGUGGGGCAUCCGUGUACUUUGGACACAUUCUUGUUUUUCACCUAAGGUUACAAUGCUUACAUUUUUUUCUGAAUUUGCUGCUUUUAACAAUAAUAACCAGGACCAUUAUCCUGUUGGACAACAUUUUGCCUUUAAUAAUCUGCAAAAAUAUGUGUUCUUUCUAUGUGACGUCAUCAGGCAUGGCUGCUUUUUUUUUUCGUGAUGCCACAUUAGGAAAUUCAGAGAAAAACAAGAAAAUUUGAAGCCUGGAAUUGAAUUUUUAUCAAUAAUGAACUCAGAGAUCAAACAAACCACACGUUGAUUAAAUAAAAAUAAUCAACGUGUCAGGAAAAGGAUAAAUCAUGUACAAAUUAGAGAAACAUGCAUUACAGAUCUAGAUAGAAGGAUGAUUUUAAAUUCCUAUAAACACACAUAAAAGAAUAGGAAAAAAAAGUUUAGAAAUCUUAUACAUAUAUAGUAUUGAUAAUUUAGAAGUACUAAUUUAAAAUGAUGAAGAUGAAAGAAAUUUUGAUCAUUGAGUCGAUAUAAAUCAGGAUACUGGGAAAUAAGAUUUUGAUAUCUUCUGAAAUAAUUCCGUACUUCAAAGAAAGACUAAUUUACGAAGAUUCUUGCUAAUUGUAUUAAAAUUGUGCUACGAUGAGAUCUGGUUGUUGUCUUAAAAGGAAUUAUGUUUACUGCUACAGAGAUCAAAGAUUGAAAUAGUUUGCUUCAGGCUCCAGAACCUUUAGUACUUGCAGAGACAUGUACAAUGAAUUUUUGUAUACACUGACUCUUUUUUUGUUUACGGAGAUCAAAGAUUGAAAUAUUAAGCUGCAGGCUCUAUAAACUUGAGUACUUAAAGCGACACAAAUAUAUACUUUUUCUCUGUUUUAAAGUAUGAUGCAAAUGAUUUCGCAGUCAUUGAUAUUUUAUGUUAUACCCAUUUUCAAAUGUGUUAUGAUGCUGCAUUAUUUGUAGAUCAAAUAUUUGAAAAGAUUUUAACUUAGCGAUUAUUAGAAUUUUAGCAGUUUCUGGAUUGAACAAUUUAAUUAGUUAUACAUAUAUUUGUUUUACAAAGGCUCAAAUUAUAUUGAUUUUAGGAGAAAGUAUAUAAUAAAUACAGUGAUAACUCUUUGUAUUAAGAUACAUAUUUCACAGGAUAGAAGACCUUGAUGGCUCCCUGUCUGAUAGUAUAUCAAGCUUAUGUCUAUUGUCCUCAUGUUCACGGUUCAAUGACCUCUUGUAAGGUGAAAGGUGAACAAAAUAAAAGAAAGGAAAUGUGGUAAGAUUGCCAAUGAGGUGGAUGUAAAGGCAUGUCAGCUUUCAACAAUGAGAAAAAUCCAUAUCUAAUGUCUUUAAAAAUGCCUAGACAAUAAAAAAAGAAAAUCAAGGAAACUAAUAACGCCUGAUUUAUAACAAAACUAUUUACAAAAAGCAAAUUUGACAAACAUGAACCAUUGACAAUGACAGAACUACAGACUCCUAACUAGAGGCAGUCAUUACAAAUUGUGACUUGGAUAGAGAGUUGUCUCAUUGGCACUCAUACCACAUCUUCUUAUAUUAUCUACAUAAAGAAUGCGGAAAGUCAAACUUUGUUUGUGAGCCCUCAACCCUCACCUACUCUGGAAGGGUGGUGUAACAGCACUACAUGAGAAUAAACUGCCAAAUUCAGAAGCAAAAGAUCUGUAAUUGGCUCAAAAACAACUAACAUAAAACAAUAGGAACAAAAACCUAUGGUAAGUCAUUGAUCUAACAGAUUUUUUAAAAUAAAGAAUUCAUAAUCAGUAAAAAAGGUUAGACAAUUCAACGCAUGCAUUCUUGUUUAUUGUUUGUUAUUUCAAAAUAAUGUUUUUAUUAAUGUGCUUUCUCCUAUUUUACAGAGAUACAACUGUCUACAAAAUGUGUAAUAGAUAUGGAACCAACACAGACUGUUCUCUACAG